rnacentral:ncRNA from 2 species
GCAUAAUUGAAUAGAGAAGGUGCAAACAAAACCAUGCUUUUGUUUGCUUAAUAGGGAAGUCCGGUUCAAUGCCGGCGCGGUCCCGCCACUGUAUGUGAAGAGUGAUUCUCUGCAAAUGCCACUGUCCAAUUCAAGGAUGGGAAGGUGUGAGAAUCGCGUUGACGCACGAGCCAGGAAACCUGCCUUUUUUAUUUUGUUUCU